AUUACCCUUAAAAUAGGCUCGUUCGAGAUGAACUGCUACUCGCCUGUAAAGUAGACGAGCGCAGGGGGC